UACGAAGGGGGCUAGCGUUGCUCGGAAUCACUGGGCGUAAAGGGUGCGUAGGCGGGUCUUUUAAGUCAGGGGUGAAAUCCUGGAGCUCAACUCCAGAACUGCCUUUGAUACUGAAGAUCUUGAGUUCGGGAGAGGUGAGUGGAACUGCGAGUGUAGAGGUGAAAUUCGUAGAUAUUCGGAAGAACACCAGUGGCGAAGGCGACUCACUGGACAGGUAUUGACGCUGAGGUGCGAAAGCGUGGGGAGCAAACAGG
rnacentral:rRNA from 1 species